GGAAGUCGUAUCUUUCAUCUUCUUUUGUGUUUUGCACGUGGAAUAUGUUCAUGUACUGAUUCAGCGCUGGUCAGUUUCAUAAAUUGGUUAUCAGUUUUGUAAAUUGGUUAUCUCGAUCAGUACGAGAAUUCAAUCAUGGCAACUACUAAAGUUGACAAUCCUGAGAAGCCAGGACAGGAAGUCACUCCUAUUCAUCGAAUUAGGAUCACACUUACAUCACGCAAUGUUCGUUCUCUUGAGAAAGAACACGAACGACUGAACGUGUAUUAAAUGAGGGUGCGCAAAACUAAAAUGUGUACUAAGGAUUAAAAAUGUAGAAUAUCUAAUAAAGAUAGAAUA